rnacentral:rRNA from 1 species
AUUGAACGCUGGCGGCAUGCUUUACACAUGCAAGUCGAACGGUAACAGGCCGCAAGGUGCUGACGAGUGGCGAACGGGUGAGUAAUGCAUCGGAACGUGCCCAGUCGUGGGGGAUAACUACUCGAAAGAGUAGCUAAUACCGCAUACGAUCUAUGGAUGAAAGCGGGGGACCGUAAGGCCUCGCUCGAUUGGAGCGGCCGAUGUCAGAUUAGGUAGUUGGUGGGGUAAAGGCUCACCAAGCCAACGAUCUGUAGCUGGUCUGAGAGGACGACCAGCCACACUGGGACUGAGACACGGCCCAGACUCCUACGGGAGGCAGCAGUGGGGAAUUUUGGACAAUGGGCGCAAGCCUGAUCCAGCAAUGCCGCGUGCAGGAAGAAGGCCUUCGGGUUGUAAACUGCUUUUGUACGGAACGAAACGGCUCUGGUUAAUACCCGGGGCUAAUGACGGUACCGUAAGAAUAAGCACCGGCUAACUACGUG